rnacentral:rRNA from 11 species
GUGUAUGACCAUGCCAUGCUGAACACAUUGAUCUCAUCUGGAUUUCGUUGGUAAGAAGAGCAGGGCUGGUUAGUACUUGGAUGUGAAUCCACCAGAUAAUAACAAGGAAUUGCAGUUA